rnacentral:rRNA from 1 species
UGCCAGCCGCCGCGGUAAUACGUACCGGACGAACGUUAUUCGGAAUCACUGGGCUUAAAGAGUACGUAGGCGGCCUUGAAGGUGAGGUGUGAAAUCCCACGGCUCAACCGUGGAACUGCGCUUCAAACCGUAGGGCUUGAGGGAGACAGAGGUGAGUGGAACUGAUGGUGGAGCGGUGAAAUGCGUUGAUAUCAUCAGGAACACCGGUGGCGAAAGCGGCUCACUGGGUCUCUUCUGACGCUGAGGAACGAAAGCUAGGGGAGCGAACGGGAUUAGAUA